GUCGCCUUUGGAACAGAUACUUCUUAUCUAUAUUAUAGCUAAAUGCGCAUAGAGUACACAAUCAUAUUUAGUCGGCUUUGGAUUUUGAACCUUAUGGAUUAUUUUGUUUUCAAUUUGGUUCAUACUGCAUGAAUUCCUUGCCAUUGACGGUUUACAAAAUUUGUUACAUCAGUAUCCAGAUACAUAUUAUUUAAUUUUGACCACAAAAGAUAUAUAUGAACACUGACGUUCUUUUUCGAUCGUAUAUAUAGAUAUAUGUACAAUCGUAAGACAGGAAC
rnacentral:lncRNA from 1 species